ACCAGACUCCUACGGGAGGCAGCAGUGGGGAAUAUUGCACAAUGGGGGAAACCCUGAUGCAGCGACGCCGCGUGAGUGAAGAAGUAUUUCGGUAUGUAAAGCUCUAUCAGCAGGGAAGAAGAAGGACGGUACCUGACUAAGAAGCCCCGGCUAACUACGUGCCAGCAGCCGCGGUAAUACGUAGGGGGCAAGCGUUAUCCGGAUUUACUGGGUGUAAAGGGAGCGUAGACGGCAGUGCAAGUCCGGAGUGAAAGCCCGGGGCUCAACCCUGGGACUGCUCUGGAAACUGUAAAGCUGGAGUGCGGGAGGGGCAGGCGGAAUUCCUGGUGUAGCGGUGAAAUGCGUAGAUAUCAGGAGGAACACCAGCGGCGAAGGCGGCCUGCUGGACCGUAACUGACGUUGAGGCUCGAAAGCGUGGGGAGCAAACAGGAUUAGAUACCCUGGUA
rnacentral:rRNA from 1 species